GAUGAAGAACGUAGCGAAAUGCGAUACGUAGUGUGAAUUGCAGAAUUCAGUGAAUCAUCGAAUCUUUGAACGCACAUUGCACCUCUCGGUAUUCCGCGAGGUAUGCCUGUUCGAGCGUCAUUUGUACCCUCAAGCUCUGCUUGGUGUUGGGUGUUUGUUCCGCCUCUGUGUGUGAACUCGCCUCAAAACAAUUGGCAGCCGGCGUACUUGUUUCGGAGCGCAGCACAUUUUGCGAUCCAGAUCAACGUACAGCGGCAUCCAAGAAGCCUUAUUUAACGCUCUUGACCUCGGAUCAGGUAGGGAUACCCGCUGAACUUAAGCAUAUCAAUAAGCGGAGGA
rnacentral:misc_RNA from 1 species